AGCAAAAGAGAACAAAUUUUGACAGUUAGAAAAUAGAGAACCUGCAAUUUUCUACUGGGACUUUUUUUACCAGCACAAAUUUGCAGCUUUGAACACAUGUUUUGUAAAAGUCAGCUGUUUUAUGAAAAGCAGACGUUACAUAAAAAUACAAAAUCUAACGCCAAAAUGGAUCAAAAACGCGAAGAUUCAUGGCAGCAAAUGGUGUUCAGACACCAAGAAGAGAGCAAUUAUCGGGUUUUAAGUGUUUGAUGGAAUCAUCCUCAUCGGAAAGCUACAAUGCAACCAACACCAUUCCUUUUAAUUUGUUAAGGGGGGAAGAUGCUGCCAUGCUGCCACCCUUAGCCUCACAUUAGUGGUCGUAGCAAUUUAUUUAGACACAAUAUCCAAAGUAUUAGAUGGUUAGUCCAAGGUAUCUUUGUCAGCACAACAAAUAUACUUUUGUAUAUCGUGAUGGCAUGUAAAGCUGUUGUAGUCAUAUGCAGCCUUCGAAAUGCAUGCGGAUGCUCGGCGAAUGGAAAAUGUCCAACGAGAGGAGCGGGAGGAGUAGCCCCUCAUGCGUCUUGGCUACUGAUGAGAGAUGGGAGAUUGGUCUGUACGACUCGCCCUUGCUCGUGUCCUUUUUAGGUUUCAGUAGCGGGAUUAGACUGCCCAUCUUCCAAACAUCGGGUACUAUAAUAGUGUUGAGAUAGGCUGAAGACAGUUGUAAUGUAAUCGACUCCAGUCAGAUCCAGAUUCUUUAGCAUCAGUUUAGACAUUCUGUCUGGAACUUGCGCCUUGCGCGACUUGGCGCCACAGAUGACAUUCGUAGCUUCGAGCACUGUUGUUGUAGCAGUGUGUUUUACACUGAAGGACUACAUCGGGCCAAUGCGGUACGUAAAACCGGCUGCCAUGGGAUUGCACGGUAAUUUGUGAUGGUUGUCCAGCUGCACGGAGAUCACGGAUAUACGAAUGGCUCCCCUUCCAGCCUUUUCACUCUCGGGUGAAUAAAUUGAUGUUUAUUUAAGGAAAAUACCUCAAAGUAUCGCCAGCAUUUUUUUUAAAUUGUUUUCCGAGCAAGCAAAUAAAAACCAACCAAAACAAAAAUUAGCUGUUUUUAUGCAAA